GGACUACCCGGGUAUCUAAUCCUGUUUGCUCCCCACGCUUUCGCACAUGAACGUCAGUAUUCGACCAGGAAGUCGCUUUCGCCACUGGUGUUCCUUCCGAUAUCUACGCAUUUCACCGCUACACCGGAAAUUCCACUUCCCUCUUCGAUACUCUAGCCAUGCAGUUUCAAAUGCAGUUCCCAGGUUGAGCCCAGGGAUUUCACAUCUGACUUACAAAACCGUCUACGCGCGCUUUACGCCCAGUAAUUCCGAUUAACGCUCGCACCCUCUGUAUUACCGCGGCGGCUGGCAC
rnacentral:rRNA from 2 species